UACGUAGGGGGCAAGCGUUGUCCGGAAUCAUUGGGCGUAAAGAGCGUGUAGGCGGCCAGGUAGGUCGGUUGUGAAAACUGGAGGCUCAACCUUCAGAGGUCGACCGAAACCAUCUGGCUAGAGUCCGGGAGAGGAGAGUGGAAUUCCCGGUGUAGCGGUGAAAUGCGCAGAUAUCAGGAGGAACACCGAUGGCGAAGGCAGCUCGCUGGGACGGUACUGACGCUGAGGCGCGAAAGCGUGGGGAGCAAACAGG
rnacentral:rRNA from 1 species